rnacentral:rRNA from 1 species
GUGGUUGGAAAGUUUUUCGGUCAGGGAUGGGCUCGCGGCCUAUCAGCUUGUUGGUGGGGUGAUGGCCUACCAAGGCGACGACGGGUAGCCGGCCUGAGAGGGCGACCGGCCACACUGGGACUGAGACACGGCCCAGACUCCUACGGGAGGCAGCAGUGGGGAAUAUUGCACAAUGGGCGAAAGCCUGAUGCAGCGACGCCGCGUGGGGGAUGAAGGCCUUCGGGUUGUAAACCUCUUUCAGCAGGGAAGAAGCGCAAGUGACGGUACCUGCAGAAGAAGCGCCGGCUAACUACGUGCCAGCAGCCGCGGUAAUACGUAGGGCGCAAGCGUUGUCCGGAAUUAUUGGGCGUAAAGAGCUCGUAGGCGGUUUGUCGCGUCUGGUGUGAAAACUCGAGGCUCAACCUCGAGCUUGCAUCGGGUACGGGCAGACUAGAGUGCGGUAGGGGAGACUGGAAUUCCUGGUGUAGCGGUGGAAUGCGCAGAUAUCAGGAGGAACACCGAUGGCGAAGGCAGGUCUCUGGGCCGCAACUGACGCUGAGGAGCGAAAGCAUGGGGAGCGAACAGGAUUAGAUACCCUGGUAGUCCAUGCCGUAAACGUUGGGCACUAGGUGUGG